GGCUCAGAUUGAACGCUGGCGGCAGGCCUAACACAUGCAAGUCGAACGGUAGCACAGAGAGCUUGCUCUCGGGUGACGAGUGACGAGCGGCGGACGGGUGAGUAAUGUCUGGGAAACUGCCUGAUGGAGGGGGAUAACUACUGGAAACGGUAGCUAAUACCGCAUAACGUCGCAAGACCAAAGAGGGGGACCUUCGGGCCUCUUGCCAUCAGAUGUGCCCAGAUGGGAUUAGCUAGUAGGUGGGGUAACGGCUCACCUAGGCGACGAUCCCUAGCUGGUCUGAGAGGAUGACCAGCCACACUGGAACUGAGACACGGUCCAGACUCCUACGGGAGGCAGCAGUGGGGAAUAUUGCACAAUGGGCGCAAGCCUGAUGCAGCCAUGCCGCGUGUAUGAAGAAGGCCUUCGGGUUGUAAAGUACUUUCAGCGGGGAGGAAGGCGAUAAGGUUAAUAACCUUGUCGAUUGACGUUACCCGCAGAAGAAGCACCGGCUAACUCCGUGCCAGCAGCCGCGGUAAUACGGAGGGUGCAAGCGUUAAUCGGAAUUACUGGGCGUAAAGCGCACGCAGGCGGUCUGUCAAGUCGGAUGUGAAAUCCCCGGGCUCAACCUGGGAACUGCAUUCGAAACUGGCAGGCUAGAGUCUUGUAGAGGGGGGUAGAAUUCCAGGUGUAGCGGUGAAAUGCGUAGAGAUCUGGAGGAAUACCGGUGGCGAAGGCGGCCCCCUGGACAAAGACUGACGCUCAGGUGCGAAAGCGUGGGGAGCAAA
rnacentral:rRNA from 1 species